GAUGAACGCUGGCGGCGUGCCUAAUACAUGCAAGUCGAGCGAACAGACGAGGAGCUUGCUCCUCUGACGUUAGCGGCGGACGGGUGAGUAACACGUGGAUAACCUACCUAUAAGACUGGGAUAACUUCGGGAAACCGGAGCUAAUACCGGAUAAUAUAUUGAACCGCAUGGUUCAAUAGUGAAAGACGGUUUUGCUGUCACUUAUAGAUGGAUCCGCGCCGCAUUAGCUAGUUGGUAAGGUAACGGCUUACCAAGGCAACGAUGCGUAGCCGACCUGAGAGGGUGAUCGGCCACACUGGAACUGAGACACGGUCCAGACUCCUACGGGAGGCAGCAGUAGGGAAUCUUCCGCAAUGGGCGAAAGCUUGACGGAGCGACGCCGCGUGAGUGAUGAAGGUCUUCGGAUCGUAAAACUCUGUUAUUAGGGAAGAACAAAUGUAUAAGUAACUAUGCACGUCUUGACGGUACCUAAUCAGAAAGCCACGGCUAACUACGUG
rnacentral:rRNA from 1 species